UACGAAGGGGGCGAGCGUUGUUCGGAAUUACUGGGCGUAAAGGGCGCGUGGGCGGCCGAGCAAGUUAGAUGUGAAAGUCCUGGGCUUAACCUGGGGACUGCAUUUGAUACUGCUUGGCUUGAAUUCGGGAGAGGAUAGCGGAAUUCCCAGUGUAGAGGUGAAAUUCGUAGAUAUUGGGAAGAACACCGGUGGCGAAGGCGGCUAUCUGGACCGACAUUGACGCUGAGGCGCGAAAGCGUGGGGAGCGAACAGG
rnacentral:rRNA from 1 species